rnacentral:rRNA from 1 species
UGGGGAAUAUUGCACAAUGGGCGCAAGCCUGAUGCAGCCAUGCCGCGUGUAUGAAGAAGGCCUUCGGGUUGUAAAGUACUUUCAGCGGGGAGGAAGGGAGUAAAGUUAAUACCUUUGCUCAUUGACGUUACCCGCAGAAGAAGCACCGGCUAACUCCGUGCCAGCAGCCGCGGUAAUACGGAGGGUGCAAGCGUUAAUCGGAAUUACUUGGCGUAAAGCGCACGCAGGCGGUUUGUUAAGUCAGAUGUGAAAUCCCCGGGCUGAACCUGGGAACUGCAUCUGAUACUGGAAAGCUUGAGUGUCGUAGAGGGGGGUAGAAUGCCAGGUGUAGCGGUGAAAUGCGUAGAGAUCUGGAGGAAUACCGGUGGCGAAGGCGGCCCCCUGGACGAAGACUGACGCUCAGGUGCGAAAGCGUGGGGAGCAAACAGG